AGAAUCAACGCUGGCGGCGUGCCUAACACAUGCAAGUCGCACGAGAAAGGGACUUCGGUCCUGAGUACAGUGGCGCACGGGUGAGUAACACGUGAAUAAUCUACCUCCGAGUGGGGAAUAACUGAGAGAAAUCUUAGCUAAUACCGCAUAACACUUACGAGUCAAAGCAGCAAUGCGCUUGGAGAGGAGUUCGCGGCAGAUUAGUUAGUUGGCGGGGUAAUGGCCCACCAAGACGAUGAUCUGUAUCCGGCCUGAGAGGGCGCACGGACACACUGGAACUGAAACACGGUCCAGACUCCUACGGGAGGCAGCAGUGGGGAAUUUUGCGCAAUGGGGGAAACCCUGACGCAGCAACGCCGCGUGGAGGAUGAAAUAUCUUGGUAUGUAAACUCCUUUCGAUGGGGAAGAUAAUGACGGUACCCAUAGAAGAAGCCCGGCUAACUCGCGCCAGCAGCCGC
rnacentral:rRNA from 1 species